UGACCCCCAUCUCACUUCCACUACACUAAAGUUGGAACAAUACAGAGAAAAUUAGCAUGGCCCCUGCACAAGAGUGAUACAUAAAUAUGUGAAGCAUUCCAUUUUUAU